CUCCGAGAAGGAGGCAGCGGUGAGACACCGCCCGCCGCCAUUCAAUUGCCGCUGGCAACCUGGGGCCUGCGCAGGGCGGGCAGGUACAACAUGGCAUGCAAAGUAAGAUUCCAUGAGGAUCUACAAUACGUGAGUGUGAACCCCAAGUCACCUAUUUGUCCAAGCUCAAGGGAUGCACCAGAAGCAGGGGGAGUGCUAACUGCAAGUGAUUCUGCUGCUGAGUGGAGGG